rnacentral:rRNA from 1 species
AGAGUUUGAUCAUGGCUCAGGAUGAACGCUGGCGGUAUGCAUUACACAUGCAAGUCGAACGAAAACUUCGGUUUUAGUGGCAAACGGGUGAGGAAUACGUGAGAAUCUGCCUUUAAGUGGAGGAUAACAUUAGGAAACUAAUGCUAAAACUCCAUAUGUCUCAGGAUAAAAAGCUUCGGCUGCUUAAAGAGGAGCUCACGCCUGAUUAGCUAGUUGGUGAGGUAAUGGCUCACCAAGGCGACGAUCAGUAGCUGGUCUGAGAGGACGAUCAGCCGGAUUGGGACUGAGAUACGGCCCAGACUCCUACGGGGGGCAGCAAUUAGGAAUCUUGCACAAUGGGGGAAACCCUGAUGCAGCGACGCCGCGUGAAGGAUGAUGGAUUUCGGUCUGUAAACUUCUUUUGUUUGCGAAGAAGAAUGUGACGGUAGCAAGCGAAUAAGCCCCGGCUAACUACGUGCCAGCAGCCGCGGUAAUUC